UACGGGGGGGGGCAAGCGUUGUUCGGAAUUACUGGGCGUAAAGGGCUCGUAGGCGGCCAACUAAGUCAGACGUGAAAUCCCUCGGCUUAACCGGGGAACUGCAUCUGAUACUGGAUGGCUUGAGUUCGGGAGAGGGAUGCGGAAUUCCAGGUGUAGCGGUGAAGUGCGUAGAUAUCUGGAGGAACACCGGUGGCGAAGGCGGCAUCCUGGACCAACACUGACGCUGAGGAGCGAAAGCCCAGGGGAGCAAACGGG
rnacentral:rRNA from 1 species